rnacentral:tRNA from 1 species
GUCCUCGUAGCUUAAUUGGAUAAAGCGUCAGAUUGCGGAUCUGAUGACUGUGAGUUCAAGUCUCACCGAGGACA